ACUUUGGUGCUGAGCAGAAAGGGGACAGGAACUGCCCUGCUGUCCUGAGCCUUCUUCUGUCUGCCGCCUCUUUCUCCUUCCUCCAGGAGAAGAGAGAUCCUGUCGUCAGCCUUCUGAACACGGACGCCUCGGCACUUACCAUGGAGUCCAUUCCUAAAUCUGGAGACGAGGAAAUUCCUAACCCUGCGUUGCUGCAAAACAUGUUUUUGGGAAGUCGCUUUAAAUAAGCCUGGACUCAACGCACUAUUUAGAGACACGGAGAGCAAGCCGAGGGUUGCUAACUGCUGGCCGCCCUGCAGAAGAAGAAGAAGAAGAAAAAGAAGAAUGGUGUUUGUUAUGUGCAAGGCACAUAAAAGAAGUAGCGCAGCUCAAUGGAAAGAGCCGGGGCUUGGGAGUCGGAGGA